CCUACGGGCGGCAGCAGUGGGGAAUAUUGGACAAUGGGGGGAACCCUGAUCCAGCCAUGCCGCGUGUGUGAAGAAGGCCCUCGGGUUGUAAAGCACUUUCAGUGAGGAAGAACGCCUGGUGGUUAAUACCCAUCAGGAAAGACAUCACUCACAGAAGAAGCACCGGCUAACUCCGUGCCAGCAGCCGCGGUAAUACGGAGGGUGCGAGCGUUAAUCGGAAUUACUGGGCGUAAAGCGCGCGUAGGUGGCUUGAUAAGCCGGUUGUGAAAGCCCCGGGCUCAACCUGGGAACGGCAUCCGGAACUGUCAAGCUAGAGUGCAGGGGAGGAAGGUAGAAUUCCCGGUGUAGCGGUGAAAUGCGUAGAGAUCGGGAGGAAUACCAGUGGCGAAGGCGGCCUUCUGGACUGACACUGACACUGAGGUGCGAAAGCGUGGGUAGCAAACAGGAUUAGAUACCCUGGUAGUC
rnacentral:rRNA from 1 species